rnacentral:rRNA from 1 species
UCGCGGCCUAUCAGCUUGUUGGUGGGGUAAUGGCCUACCAAGGCGACGACGGGUAGCCGGCCUGAGAGGGCGACCGGCCACACUGGGACUGAGACACGGCCCAGACUCCUACGGGAGGCAGCAGUGGGGAAUAUUGCGCAAUGGGCGAAAGCCUGACGCAGCGACGCCGCGUGAGGGACGAAGGUCUUCGGAUUGUAAACCUCUUUCAGCAGGGACGAAGCGAAAGUGACUGUACCUGCAGAAGAAGCACCGGCUAACUACGUGCCAGCAGCCGCGGUAAUACGUAGGGUGCAAGCGUUGUCCGGAUUUAUUGGGCGUGAAGAGCUCGUAGGCGGUUUGUCGCAUCGGAUGUGAAAACCCAAUGGCUUAACCUUGGGCCUGCAUUCGAUACGGGCAAACUAGAGUGUGGUAGGGGAGACUGGAACUCCUGGUGUAGCGGUGGAAUGCGCAGAUAUCAGGAAGAACACCGAUGGCGAAGGCAGGUCUCUGGGCCAUAACUGACGCUGAGGAGCGAAAGCGUGGGGAGCGAACAGGAUUAGAUACCCUGGUAGUCCACGCCGUAAACGGUGGGCGCUAGGUGUGGGGAUUGUUUCCACGAUCUCCGUGCCGCAGCUAACGCAUUAAGCGCCCCGCCUGGGGAGUACGG